rnacentral:rRNA from 1 species
CCCGGUUAGCCCAACGAGGAACUGGGGAUAAAACCUGGAAACAGAUGCUAAUACCGGAUAACAACACUAGACGCAUGUCUAGAGUUUUAAAAAUGGUUCUGCUAUCACUCUUGGAUGGACCUGCGGUGCAUUAGCUAGUUGGUAAGGUAACGGCUUACCAAGGCAAUGAUGCAUAGCCGAGUUGAGAGACUGAUCGGCCACAUUGGGGCUGAGACACGGCCCAA